GACGAACGCUGGCGGCGUGCCUAAUACAUGCAAGUUGAGCGCUGAAGGUUGGUACUUGUACCAACUGGAUGAGCAGCGAACGGGUGAGUAACGCGUGGUGAAUCUGCCUUUGAGCGGGGGACAACAUUUGGAAACGAAUGCUAAUACCGCAUAAAAACUUUAAACACAAGUUUUAAGUUUGAAAGAUGCAAUUGCAUCACUCAAAGAUGAUCCCGCGUUGUAUUAGCUAGUUGGUGAGGUAAAGGCUCACCAAGGCGAUGAUACAUAGCCGACCUGAGAGGGUGAUCGGCCACAUUGGGACUGAGAAAAGGCCCAAACUCCUACGGGAGGCAGCAGUAGGGAAUCUUCGGCAAUGGACGAAAGUCUGAACGAGCAACGCCGCGUGAGUGAAGAAGGUUUUCGGAUCGUAAAACUCUGUUGGUAGAGAAGAAAGUUGGUGAGAGUGGAAAGCUCAUCAAGUGACGGUAACUACACAGAAAGGGACGGCUAACUACGUG
rnacentral:rRNA from 1 species